AUUGAACGCUGGCGGCGUGCCUAACACAUGCAAGUCGAGCGGUAACAGGUGUAGCAAUACAUGCUGACGAGCGGCGGACGGGUGAGUAACGCUUGGGAAUCUGCCUAUUAGUGGGGGACAACCCGGGGAAACUCGGGCUAAUACCGCAUACGCACUACGGUGGAAAGCCGGGGACCGCAAGGCCUGGCGCUAACAGAUGAGCCCAAGUCGGAUUAGCUAGUUGGUAGGGAACGGCCUACCAAGGCGACGAUCCGUAACUGGUCUGAGAGGACGACCAGUCACACCGGAACUGAGACACGGUCCGGACCUCC
rnacentral:rRNA from 1 species